GGUGGCUCAGUGGUAGAACGCUUGCCUUGCAUGCAUGAGGCCCUGGGUUCAAUUCCUCAGCACCA
rfam:Dipodomys ordii contig_45486, whole genome shotgun sequence.